rnacentral:rRNA from 1 species
GAUGAACGCUGGCGGCGUGCCUAAUACAUGCAAGUCGAGCGAACGGACGAGACGCUUGCUUCGCUGCUGUUAGCGGCGGACGGGUGAGUCACACGUGGCUAACCUACCUAUAAGACUGGGAUAACUUCGGGGAACCUUAGCUCAUACCGGAUAAUAUUUUGAACCGCAUGGUUCAUAAGUGAAAGACGGUCUUGCUGUCCCUUGUAGAUGUAUCCGCGCUGCAUUAGCUAGUUGGUAAGGUAACGGCUUACCAAGGCAACGAUGCAUAGCCGACCUGAGAGGGUGAUCGGCCACACUGGAACUGAGACACGGUCCAGACUCCUACGGGAGGCAGCAGUAGGGAAUCUUGCGCAAUGGGCGAAAGCCUGACGGAGCAAUGCCGCGUGAGUGAUGAAGGUCUUCGGAUCGUAAAACUCUGUAAGUAGGGAAGAACAUAUGUGUAAGUAAAUGUGCACAUCUUGACGGUACCUAAUCAGAAAGCCACGGCUAACUACGUG